AAGCUGCAAAUCAGCCAGGGAAGGAAUGAAACAUCCUCACUAGUUCUUGCUUUACCUCUUGACUACAAGAGGACAGCAAGCAGAGAUUUAGCAGUGCAGCCAAACGACCCUGCUGUUGCACUAUGUGAGGACCCCUGUUCCCUGGGUCACGCUGCCUCUCACAGUGCCACAGGAAGACACUGAUGCCGAUAGAGGAGACCACCUCUUCAGCUGACAUAUGAUUCAGAAGGCUGAAGAGGGGCUAUGCUGACAAAGCAGGCCAGACAUUUUCCCCCUGAAGACCACCACUGGUCUGAGAGCACAAGCAAGGGGCGGCUGGACAAGAGAUUGGCUCUUUGAGACAGCGAGAAAUUAUUUGAAAAGGACCAAGACUAGACUGCCAAGGUCACAGAGAGAUUUUUUCAUGCCCUGAUGAGCUGAUACCUGAGCCAGUGACCUGCAGCAGACAGAUGGACACAGUCAGCCCUUCUUCAUCUCAGCUGAGGACACCUGAGGCUCUCCAUGAGGAGAAUUUCAUCCACACUUCAUCUACUUUCAUCCACACUCAGCAAUAAAUGGCAAACCUCGUACACCCAGCUUUGAAACACAGAUGAUAAAUGCAGUAGAAAAAAAGUUUUUUUCUUAACAAGAUGUUAGCCUUGUUAAAGUCUUUUCCCACAAGAUGUUAAGCUCUAGGUAGGACUUAUUAGGUCUAGGCAUCCAACGUGAAAUAUUUAUGGCACAACUUUUCAGAGCAUUCCUGAAGUAUGGUCUGUAGUGUCACAGCCAAAUCCUGACUUACCUGCAGCAUGGGCACUCUAAAGAUGUGUAUUAUGUGGCUAUCUCUGGAAUAGGUGGGAUGUGACUUGAGCUCUAUAAGAGCAACAAGGUGAGAAUCUAUUACUCUCAGGACUUUCAGCAUCCUUUAACCAUUACAUUGACCCAUCUCUUCUUCAGUCCUCUAUGUUCUGUUUCUCAUACAACUUGCAUAAUGAAGUACCAGGUCUUUUGGAUAAGAGAUGCUUUUACUAUGGUUGUGGUACUAUUGAUCCAGUUGUACUCGCACAGUUAUGUAACUGUCCCUGAUCCAGCUCUAGAGCAGAUCAGUAAAAUGAGUAAAAUGACAGUCACAGGAAGCAGGAAGGGUACCUGUCAGAGAUGCUUUAUUGCUCUAGACCUCAAAUUGGUGCCAAUGCUAAACACAUUAUAGUAUCAACAGUAAACCUGCUAUCUCCAUGCAGAAGCAGCUUAUCUUACUCUUCCUACAGACUGCUGCCUUCACAACCUCUCCUAGUUACUUUUGGUGCCACAGCCAUCAAACACCUCCAUGACAGGUGCUGUGAGAUUUUGCUACUCCAUCAGUCACCUUUUAAAGCACUCUAUGGUCAAAACCAGCAUUUGACUGGCUCAGUUCUCUAUCAGAUCCACGCAUCAGUGGCGGUCAUAUCCACUGAAAAUAUGACUUGUAGUUAAUAAUCUCAAUUUGGUUGUGAAAAGUGAUGGCUAACAUUGUGAUGUUAUCGGUCCUGUUUAGGAUAGAGUCCGCAAAAGAUUUUCUUUCCACAUGUUGACACUGCCUGUUAUUAGAAGUCAUUCCUUUUACAAGGUUAUCUGGGUGUUUAAGCAUUUUGUAAAAUGACUAACAUACAUGGGAAGUUGGGUAAAAUUUCUUUUCUUUUCUUUUUUCUUUUAUGGCUGGUUAGUUAAUUAUUCAGUGAACAGCUGAAUAAAAGAAAUCUGCAGAGC
ensembl:lncRNA